UUCCCGGUGGUCCAGUGGUUAAGACCCUGCACUGGCAUUGCAGGGGGCCUGGGUUCGCUUCCUAGUUGGGGUA
rnacentral:tRNA from 1 species